UACGACGACUAUGAUAUAAGUUAAAGAAUGAUGUCAAUA
rnacentral:guide_RNA from 1 species